rnacentral:tRNA from 1 species
GGACCUAUAGCGAGCUGGUUAGAGCGCACAGCGCACGCCUGAUAAGUGUGAGGUCGAUGAUUCGAGUCCAUUUAGGAUCACCU